AACGAACGCUGGCGGCAUGCCUAACACAUGCAAGUCGAACGAGACCUUCGGGUCUAGUGGCGCACGGGUGCGUAACGCGUGGGAACCUGCCCUUAGGUUCGGAAUAACUCCCCGAAAGGGGUGCUAAUACCGGAUAAUGUCUUCGGACCAAAGAUUUAUCGCCUUUGGAUGGGCCCGCGUUGGAUUAGCUAGUUGGUAGGGUAAAAGCCUACCAAGGCGACGAUCCAUAGCUGGUCUGAGAGGAUGAUCAGCCACACUGGGACUGGGACACGGCCCAGACUCCUACGGGAGGCAGCAGUGGGGAAUAUUGGACAAUGGGCGAAAGCCUGAUCCAGCAAUGCCGCGUGAGUGAUGAAGGCCUUAGGGUUGUAAAGCUCUUUUACCCGGGAUGAUAAUGACAGUACCGGGAGAAUAAGCUCCGGCUAACUACGUG
rnacentral:rRNA from 1 species